UACAGAGGUCUCAAGCGUUGUUCGGAUUCAUUGGGCGUAAAGGGUGCGUAGGCGGCGCGGUAAGUCGGGUAUGAAAUCUUGGAGCUUAACUCCGAAACUGCAUUCGAUACUGCCGUGCUUGAGGACUGGAGAGGAGACUGGAAUUUACGGUGUAGCGGUGAAAUGCGUAGAUAUCGUAAGGAAGACCAGUGGCGAAGGCGGGUCUCUGGACAGUUCCUGACGCUGAGGCACGAAGGCCAGGGGAGCAAACGGG
rnacentral:rRNA from 1 species